rnacentral:rRNA from 1 species
UACGUAGGGGGCUAGCGUUAUCCGGAAUUACUGGGCGUAAAGGGUGCGUAGGUGGUUUCUUAAGUCAGGGGUGAAAGGCUACGGCUCAACCGUAGUAAGCCUUUGAAACUGGGAAACUUGAGUGCAGGAGAUGAGAGUGGAAUUCCUAGUGUAGCGGUGAAAUGCGUAGAUAUUAGGAGGAACACCAGUUGCGAAGGCGGCUCUCUGGACUGUAACUGACGCUGAGGCACGAAAGCGUGGGGAGCAAACAGGAUUAGAUACCCGGGUAGUCCCUGAGCGGGCU